ACUCGCUAAAGGCAAACCACUUUAAAGAGUGGGACGCAAAGUCUUCUGCCUACGUUCCCUUCGGGGAAUAUGGUCGUGAGGCUGCCGAG
rnacentral:ncRNA from 1 species